UUGCGCCACCUCACGGAAGAAACUGUAGAAGUCGACGGCUGUCUUGCGGUCGACCUCGCACUCGGUGGCGGCGUUCGUCAGUGGUAUUUUUUGAAGCCAGGACACCAUUAGGCUAAUGAUCUGAAAAGAAACGAAAAGGCUGGUCAUGGAAGGUCAAGGCCCCCGCGGAGGCCCGGGCAGCGCGUUCCAAUAUGCGCAGAACACCCAGCAAGAUUAGUGGCAAAUCGCGGAUAUACCUUUCGGAAUGGCACACGAACUCCCUCGAAGAACGUGUUACGCAGCGGCGAAACCGACCCGUAGCAACGUUCGGGCACGGCCUUUUUCUUUUUGUCGGAUGCGGCUCGGGGCCUUGGCCGUUCUCGGAUACAGCGGUACGUGAAACCCAGAGGGUUGUCCUUGGAGGUCUUCGGACGGGUUACACCUACAGGGAGAAAUGGGAAAGAAAAUGGGCAUGACAAGCAGACAACGUCAUAGGCUGGGCGCCUCGCUCCGGUUCCGAACAAUGGUGUCAGCCGAAGCAGGCACAACAAACUGCACGCGCACGCACCCUGACAUUUCGGGCAAGGGGACGGAGAGGUAUGUGCACGGUCCGGC
rnacentral:lncRNA from 1 species